ensembl:lncRNA
CAGCAUACCAGGGCGAUAACACACACCGUAUCAAUCACACACUCACUCUCUCUCUCUCUCUCACACACACACACACACACACACACACACACACACACCUCACUUUCCACAGAGCUUAGAAGGUUAGCACCGUUAAUAAGAACUCUAACGGGAGGCGGGGGAAGUCAGGCUAACCCAAAUGUGUUCAAACAGGUCUGUGACACACACACACACACACACACACACACACACACACACACACACACACACACACACCCUUCUAAUGAAGAUCCUUGCUGGAGGAUAUGAAUAUAUGUUAGUGUUGGUGCUGCUGGUUUGGCUGGCCUAGCGAAGAGUGGGUUCUGAUUGGCUGGCCUAGUGAAGAGUGGGUUCUGAUUGGCUGGGCUAGUGAAGAGUGGGUUCUGAUUGGCAGGCCUAGUGAAGAGUGGGUUCUGAUUGGCAGGCCUAGAGAAGAGUGUGUUCUGAUUGGCAGGGCUAGUGAAGAGUGGGUUCUGAUUGGCAGGGCUAGUGAAGAGUGGGUUCUGAUUGACAGGCCUAUUGAAGAGGGGGUUCUGAUUGGCAGGCCUAGUGAAGAGUGGGUUCUGAUUGGCAGAGCUAGUGAAGAGUGGGUUCUGAUUGACAGGCCUAGUGAAGAGGGGGUUCUGAUUGGCAGGCCUAGUGAAGAGUGGGUUCUGAUUGGCAGAGCCAGUGAAGAGUGGGUUCUGAUUGGCAGGGCUAGUGAAGAGUGGGUUCUGAUUGGCAGGGCUAGUGAAGAGUGGGUUCUGAUUGGCAGGCCUAGUGAAGAGGGGGUUCUGAUUGGCAGGCCUAGCGAAGAGUGGGUUCUGAUUGGCUGGCCUAGUGAAGAGUGGGUUCUGAUUGGCUGGCCUAGUGAAGAGUGGGUUCUGAUUGGCAGGGCUAGUAAAGAAUGGUUAAAGCUGUAGGUGAGUGUGAGGUGUGUCCAGAGUUGUGAGGUUUGUGUAGAGUUGUGAUGUUUGUGUAGAGUUGUGAUGUUUGUGUGUGUUUUACCCUUAAAGCUGUAGGUGAGUGUGAUGUUUGUGUAAAGUUGUGAUGUUUGAGUGUGUUUUACUCUUAAAGCUGUUGGCGUGUGUGAGGUUUGUGUAGAGUUAGGAUGUUUGUGUGUUUUAUCCUUAAAGCUGUAGGCGUGUGUGAUGUUUGUGUAAAGUUGUGAUGUUUGUGUGUUUUAUCCUUAAAGCUGUAGGCGAGUGUGAGGUUUGUGUAGAGUUGUGAUGUUUGUGUGUUUUAUCCUUAAAGCUGAAGGUGAGUGUGAGGUUUGUGUAGAGUUGGGAUGUUUGUGUGUUUUAUCCUUAAAGCCUUAGGCGUGUGUGAUGUUUGUGUAAAGUUGUGAUGUUUGUGUGUUUUAUCCUUAAAGCUGAAGGUGAGUGUGAGGUUUGUGUAAAGUUGUGAUGUUUGUGUGUUUUAUCCUUAAAGCUGAAGGUGAGUGUGAGGUUUGUGUAAAGUUGUGAUGUUUGUGUGACUCCACCAUUAA